GAUAUUAUAAUAAGGAAAUUUCUUGUCUCUUUUGAAAUAAUAGGGGGAUUCUAUUGCUCUUACAAGAUUUCAGAUUGCAAAACUUCUAUACUGAAAUAUACAAGGGCACGUGAGUUCCCAUUGCAGAAUCUAGUGAUAUAUGAACGGCUGAUUCGGUCAAUUUAUUGUAAAUGAGGGGAUGUUCAAGUCUCAAUCACUGCGGCAAUAUUGCAAAGCAUCACAUUCGAUGCAAAAAUGUGGCAACUUUUGCAAAUUUCAAGCGUUCGAACAACAAAAAUUUUGACAUUUCGUGCGCGCAAAAGUGACAAAAUCGACAUCAGCGAAACUCAUGAUUGAAGAUAUGAGCCCGGAGCUAAGUCACAACUUCACCAAGCAACAACUCAACAAAUCGACAUCAGCGAAAUUCAUGAUGGAAGAUAUGAGCCCGGAGCUAAGUCACAACUUUACCAAGCAACAACUCCACAAAUCGGCAUCAGCGAAAUUCAUGAUGGAAGAUAUGAGGUAAGCGAAAAAUAUCAAUUCCAGCUCGGAGCUAAGUCACAACUUCACCAAGCUCCUAGUGAGAUGCCGGCUCGAAAUGGCGCACGAAUUUUCUGCGGGGAAACGUAAAAAGUCAGUUUUAUGGGCAAAAGUGGUCAAUAAAAUGAGUGUGGUUAAUGCGGAUGCUCCAAAAUCGAAGGACCUUAUGCAAAGAAAGUUUUUGAAUUUAUUUGCGACAUACACACGUAUAAAGAGGCAACAAGCUGGUUGUUUUUUGAAGAGUUCGGCGAUGUGUACGGUAGGCGGCAUUCCAUUUAACCGCCAGCCAAAAACCUUCAAGGCUCCUUAAUGGAUAGUGCUGAAGUAUGUGAAGGGAGUGGAGACGAGAAUACUGACCACUCUUACGAAAGUCAACUCGUAAACGAACGACGAAAGCGUCCAAAGACUGCCGCCAACGAAGCAUUGGAAUUUUUAAAGAAUGAGGCUCUAAAACAACAAGCACGUCAUGAAGAAGUGCUACAAUUCGAAAAAGAAAAAUUGAAUUUUAGAAAAGAAAAAAUAAACGUAAUGAUAAAGUUGCGGGAAACUUUAGAAAAGUUAACCGAAAAGUAAAAAAAAAAGAAUUUGAAAAAUGUAAACUUGAUCUCUUUUUAUAAUUUUUUAUUACUGUUGUGACCUGUACUUGAAGUAGUUGAA